AUCAGAACCCUAUUGCAGAAGUUACCACCUACAUUGAACACAGAGAAGUCAAGUGGUUCCCACUUAGAGCCUCUACCCCUGUGGACUAGUGCUCAUGGUCCUGGAACAUACUCUGCAUGUUACCCAGCUCCAAACUCUUCAGUGUACAAGAGUGACUUGGACACCGGUGUGAUAGUGACACAAAUCUUGUGGCAGUAAAUUAGAAUCUGAUUUAACUUAAGGCAUACUCCAUGAAAUGGAACCGAUGCUCAAGGCUGUUUAGGUGACCAAGAACUAGAUAACCUAGUUAGACUAGAUAGCCCAUGGGCACAGAGGAAAACCAAAUUCUACUGCGCUGCUGACGGAGUGUAGCUAAAAUGACUUCUGCUGUACUCAUAGAUCUGUGCCUUGCUCAACCAUUGUUAGAGAAGCUGCCUCCUGCAGCAGAUGGCAACACAUAGAGACCUAUUGCCAAACAAUUUGCAGAGAGUGAAAAACCUUGGAACACUUAGCCCUCAAAGUGAUGCCUCUAUCAAAUCUCUCUCCUCGUGGCUCAAGGAACUCUGUGGAAGAGGAGGCAGAAAGAGUGUGAGAGCUGAGGAAAUGGAGGACACCAAGCAAUCAAGGCCUUCUGGACACAACAGGGCUGAGGCCCACAGGAUCUCACAGUACCAGAGUAGCAUGAACAGGACCUGCUUGAGUCUGCAACCAGAUGGGGUCUACAGCUGAAAGAGAAAGUUUACAAAUGUCCCCAUCCCUAACCUAGAAGCUAUCUGCAAGCAAUAACCACUUAUGAAUGAAAAGAUGGUUUUUUUGGAAGGGAGUCUCACUGGAAACAAACCACUCGGCAGGACACAGAUCUACUGAUGCCAUGUGUCCAUUUGAAGCUGUCAGAAGAUGAUGCCACAAUCUUAAGAGCCUCUGGAUGGGAUGUGCCACUGGGGCUUAGAGGGUUUCAGAAGAGAGAUUUGAUCUGUCCAUAAGGCAUGGAACAGCUUAAUCGAUAAGUCAAUGAUCUGGUCAUGCUGGGGGUACCGUUUAUAACUAAAUAUAGAUUCCAGAUUUGUCAUUCACUCCACC
rnacentral:lncRNA from 1 species